UACGAAGGGUGCAAGCGUUACUCGGAAUUACUGGGCGUAAAGCGUGCGUAGGUGGUUUGUUAAGUCUGUUGUGAAAGCCCCGGGCUCAACCUGGGAAUGGCAAUGGAUACUGGCAAGCUAGAGUGCGGUAGAGGGUAGUGGAAUUCCCGGUGUAGCGGUGAAAUGCGUAGAGAUCGGGAGGAACAUCUGUGGCGAAGGCGACUGCCUGGACCAGCACUGACACUGAGGCACGAAAGCGUGGGGAGCAAACAGG
rnacentral:rRNA from 1 species